AUAAAGUCAUUGUCGACUCCACUACACGGGAUUAAAUUAAAAAAACUUAUUUAACUACAAAUUGGGUUACUUUAUUUUUAAUAGGGACGCAGCAGCUGAUCAGAAAUCUAUCGAAAAUGGAAACUACCAAGGAUUAAGAACUGCAAUCGUAUGUCACCACUUUCCCUGCUAAGUACCAGACACAACAUCGCACUCUGAAGCAGAGCUAUGAAGUGUAACUAUUUUAUGAAUGCAUGUGUAUGCAUACGGGCAGCCUGAAGGAUUCAUUACUGUUAUACAUAUAAUUAAGAACCACAGUGACAGAAUAAAAAAAAUAACAUGGACUGUUAUUCCUGCAAAUUUAGUUGAAAAGUGUUAAAAACCAGUUGUAAAAAACAAUAUUUGUGGCCUUCUAUGACAUCAAUUGGAGGAGAUGGAUUACCCUAUUCUUAUUCUGCCGGGAAGUAAACGGAGUCCAGACCGAUUGACAGGGAUACAUUGACGUUACAUUAAAAGGGAUGGAUGAAAAGACGACGAAAACGACAGGUCUCUGGGACCAUUUGUGACCCACGAAUGCCCUUGAAAAUCAAAGGGAAUAUUUAUAAGACCGUCAUUAGACCUGUCUUUAUGUACGGUUCUUAAUGUUGGGCAGCAAAAGAGGGUCCAAAAAGAACACAUGUGGAGGAGAUGCGAAUGAUAAGAGGGAUGUGCGGUGUAACUAUAAUUGACAGGAUAAGAAACGAGUAUAUCAGAGGAAGUCUGAAAGUAGCACUAAUAGAUGAAAAGUUGAAGAGUAAUAGAUUAGCGCGGUAUAGGCAUGUGAUGAGGAGUUGAAGAUGAAAAGCAUGUUACUAGAAGGUUGCUGAGUGUGAAUGUUAAUGGAUAUAGGGGACGGGGGAGGCCGAAGAUAGUGUGGAUCGAUUGCGUAAGAAAUGAUAUGUGAAUGAAACGGGUAAGUACUGAGAUGAGUGAUAGAAAGAAGUGGAAGGAAAUAUAGUGGGAUAAGGGCAGGAAGGAGUAGACAAUAAAGGUGCUAUAAGAUCAUCCAUUUAUUGUAGUCACAAGUAAAAAUAAAAAAAAUUACUGCA